UCGUAACAAGGUCUCCGUUGGUGAACCAGCGGAGGGAUCAUUACCGAGUUUACAACUCCCAAACCCAAUGUGAACGUUACCAAACUGUUGCCUCGGCGGGAUCUCUGCCCCGGGUGCGUCGCAGCCCCGGACCAAGGCGCCCGCCGGAGGACCAACCAAAACUCUUAUUGUAUACCCCCUCGCGGGUUUUUUACUAUCUGAGCCAUCUCGGCGCCCCUCGUGGGCGUUUCGAAAAUGAAUCAAAACUUUCAACAACGGAUCUCUUGGUUCUGGCAUCGAUGAAGAACGCAGCGAAAUGCGAUAAGUAAUGUGAAUUGCAGAAUUCAGUGAAUCAUCGAAUCUUUGAACGCACAUUGCGCCCGCCAGUAUUCUGGCGGGCAUGCCUGUCCGAGCGUCAUUUCAACCCUCGAACCCCUCCGGGGGGUCGGCGUUGGGGAUCGGCCCUUUACGGGGCCGGCCCCGAAAUACAGUGGCGGUCUCGCCGCAGCCUCUCCUGCGCAGUAGUUUGCACACUCGCAUCGGGAGCGCGGCGCGUCCACAGCCGUUAAACACCCCAAACUUCUGAAAUGUUGACCUCGGAUCAGGUAGGAAUACCCGCUGAACCUAAGCAUAUC
rnacentral:misc_RNA from 1 species